GAUGAACGCUGGCGGCGUGCUUAACACAUGCAAGUCGAACGAGGUACCCAUGAUUGCGGCUUCGGCCAAGGGAUUGGACUACCUAGUGGCGGACGGGUGAGUAACGCGUGAGCAACCUGCCUUCGAGAGGGGGAUAACACCGGGAAACUGGUGCUAAUACCGCAUGAUGUAACGAGACCGCAUGAUCUUGUUACCAAAGGAGCAAUCCGCUCGAAGAUGGGCUCGCGUCUGAUUAGCUAGUUGGUGAGGUAACGGCCCACCAAGGCGACGAUCAGUAGCCGGACUGAGAGGUUGAACGGCCACAUUGGGACUGAGAUACGGCCCAGACUCCUACGGGAGGCAGCAGUGGGGAAUAUUGCACAAUGGGGGAAACCCUGAUGCAGCAACGCCGCGUGAAGGAAGACGGUCUUCGGAUUGUAAAACUUCUUUUCUCAAGGACGAUAAUGACGGUACUUGAGGAAUAAGCACGGCUAACUACGUG
rnacentral:rRNA from 1 species